AAAAGGCCAAUUACGAUUCUGCCAACAUCUUUAUCUCCAAUCCUCACAUCAAAGAAGACCUGCAUGUGGUUGAAAGGCGGAGCACAAGGUCACACGGUGGAAAAGCCACAAUACAAGGCCCUGUGAAAGGGAUGAGGCUGCAAAGUCCCACAGAAGAGGAAGCAGAGAGAUAGUCACUGUGAUGGGAAGUCAAGCUUUACAAGAAGGCAUCCUUCCAUUAUCUUCUAACCUUGGGUAAACAUGCUGAAAAAAGACCUGAAGCUGUAAGGAGGCAGAUCCCCACCCCACCA